rnacentral:rRNA from 1 species
CCUACGGGUGACAGCAGUGAGGAAUAUUGGUCAAUGGACGCAAGUCUGAACCAGCCAUGCCGCGUGCAGGAAGACGGCCCUAUGAGUUGUAAACUGCUUUUGUACGAGGGUAAACGCAGAUACGCGUAUCUGUCUGAAUGUAUCGUACGAAUAAGGAUCGGCUAACCCCGUGCCAGCAGCCGCGGUACUACGGAGGAUUCAAGCGUUAUCCGGAUUUAUUGGGUUUAAAGGGUGCGUAGGCGGUCGGAUAAGUUAGAGGUGAAAUCCCGAGGCUAAACUUCGGAAUUGCCGCUGAUACUGUUCGGCUAGAGAGUAGUUGCGGUAGGCGGAAUGUAUGGUGUAGCGGUGAAAUGCUUAGAGAUCAUACAGAACACCGAUUGCGAAGGCAGCCUACCAAGCUACUUCUGACGUUGAGGCGCGAAAGCGUGGGGAGCAAACAGGAUUAGAUACCCUAGUAGUC